CUGCAAAAUUUUUUUUCCAUAAUUGUUGGUCUCUAUCUAAGAAAGAUAUUGAAGUUUUUGUGUUUAAGUGUUUUUCUACUGGUUCCGUUCUAGAGUUUCUGAACAGUACUCUUGUUACUCUUGUUCCUAAAAUCACUAAUCCUCAGAGCACGCUGCAGUUUCGUCCAAUUAGUCUAUGUAACACUUUAUACAAAGUUGUUUCUAAGAUCAUUGUUGGAAGGCUCAGACCUCUUAUGUGUAAGCUUGUUAGCCCUAAUCGGGUUAGCUUUGUUCCUGGACGACAAAUUUCAGAUAAUAUUUUCAUUGCUCAAGAGGUUUUGCAUAGAUUCCAUAGAGCAAGAGGGAAAACCGGGUAUAUAGCUUGGAAAAUUGACCUCUCUAAGGCUUAUGACAAAUUGAAAUGGUCUUUUAUUAAGCAAACUCUUGCAGAAAUUGGUAUUGGGGAAACUUCUCUUCAACUUAUUAUGAGCUGUGUCAAGAAUGUCUCUUACAAAAUUAUCUAGAAUGGGGAGCUUAUUGAGAGUUUCAAACCUCAAAGAGUUGUUAGACAAGGUGACCCUCUUUCCCCUUACCUUUUUGUUUUAUGUAUGGAAAAGCUUAGUCACAUCAUUGCUGU
rnacentral:lncRNA from 1 species